UACUAGAGUAGCACUCGCAUAUCAAUAAGCGGAGGAAAAGAAACUAACAAGGAUUCCCCUAGUAACGGCGAGUGAAGCGGGAAGAGCUCAAAUUUGAAAUCUUAAAGGGUUUCCCUUUACGAAUUGUAGUUUAAAGAAGUGUUUUCUGUUGAGGUUUUGGUAAAAGUUCUUUGGAAUAGGACAUCAUAGAGGGUGAGAAUCCCGUAUUUGACCUUUACCUUCAACUUUGUGAUACACUUUCAAAGAGUCGGAUUGUUUGGGAAUGCAGUCCAAAAUGGGUGGUAAAUUUCAUCUAAAGCUAAAUAUUGGCGAGAGACCGAUAGCGAACAAGUACCGUGAGGGAAAGAUGAAAAGAACUUUGAAAAGAGAGUUAAACAGUACGUGAAAUUGUCAAAGAGGGAAGCGUUUGACACCAGUGUUGUUUUCCUGAAAAUCAAUUAAAGAACUGUUUAUGCUAAGUUGUUUAGACUUUAUCAGCUAUCUGUUUAGUUUUGAGCUUUUCUUUAAUGCACUUUUCAGUUAACAAGUCAACAUCAAUUUCUUUUGCUGUAAAAAAGCUUGAGGAAGGUGGCUUGAGAUUCGUCUUAAGUGUUUAUAGCCUCUUGCCUAUGCAGUCGGAGAGAUUGAGGUCUGCAGCGUAGAUCCUUCGGGGCUAAAUGCAUUUGUGCUAAGUUAUAGCAUUUUAUAGACAACUUGUUGACUAUGAUUUGUCUUGUAGCUUACUCGCUUAUGUUAUUUUACCUACGCUUAGGAUGUUGAUCUCUCACAGUCGAGC
rnacentral:rRNA from 1 species